AACAGUACAUCAACAUGGUAGUUAUAAAAGGAACAGAAGUGAUGACAGUAAUAGAAGUGAUGACAGUAACAGAAGUGACAACAGUAACAGAAAUGAUAUUAAUAUAUAUGAAUAUAAAGAUAAUAUGCAACCGUAUAAUAAACAAUCUCAUAAUAUAGUUCCAUAUCAUCACCACCGCCACCAUCAACUUGAUAACUACAUAAGCACGAAUGAUACACUUUACAACGAAAUUGAAGACUAUGAUAAAAUGUUUUAUAAAAAUAUAAAAACAAGUAGCAUUAGUAGUAGUAGUAGUAAUGGUAAUGGUAAUGGUAAUGGUAGUGGUAACGGGUUUAUGUUUAAUGAAACUCUAAACAUCACUAAUAGAACUGAUUUGAAUAAUAUAUAUAAUGAAAACAUAAAUAGUUGCAAUAGUAGUAGCGAUGGUAACAACAAUAAUAAUAAUAAUUUUUUAAAAAAUUGUAAUAUAUCAAUAAACGGUAUGCAAGUGAAAGGCAUGCAAGUGAACGGUAUGCAAAUGAACGGUAUGCAAGUGAACGGAGUGCAAGUGAAUGGCAUGCAAGUAAACGGCAUGCAAGUGAACGGUAUGCAAGUGAACAGUAUGCAAGUGAACGGUAUGCAAAUAAAUAGUAUGGCAAUAAAAAAUAACAUACAAAAUCGUAACAUAUCAAAUACUAGUAUGUCUGUUAGUAGUAUGCCUGUUAGUAGUAUGCCUGUAAAUAAUAUGGCUGUAAAUAAUAUGGCUGUAAAUAAUAUGGCUGUAAAUAAUAUGGCUGUAAAUAAUAUGGCUGUAAAUAGCAUGACCGUAAAUAAUAUGGGCGUAAAUAAUAAAAUAAUAACUCAACCAACAUUUCUACAAAAUAAUAUCAUGAUGAUAUCGACACAUACAUGUAGUAAUACAAAUGUUUUAUUAAAUUCGAUGAAUAUACCUAUGAACUUACAAAUGGGUAACCCUAUGAUUAGUUCUACAGGUGGACAUAUGAACAAGCGUAGUUUAUUUUUUGAUUAUGCGUUAAUGCAAAAUUUUAAUAAAAAAUAUAAAAUAUGUUCAAAUACAAGUAAUGUUAGUACUAUAAGCAGUAAUACUAGUAAUUGUAGUGAUCACUCAUUAACAAACGGUUUAAAUAAUUUUCAUACAAUGCCUAUCACAAAUCACGUAUUAGAAUAUAUAAAAGAUGUUAAAUAUGAGUCUGACUAUAUAGAUAAUAGUUGUGAUAACAAAAACUGCAUUACCAAUGAUAUAUACGACAUUACAAGUGGUUCUUUCCCUAAUGAUAAUAUCGGUAGAUACAAUGUAAAUAUGCUAGCAAUAAGCGAAACUAACAACAGUAACAAAGGAAAUAAUAAUAAUAACAACAACAACAACAACAACAGCAACAACAACAACAACAAUAACAAAAAUAGUAACAACAAUAACGACAACAAUAACAACAGCAACGACAAUAAUAACAACAGCAACGACAAUAAUAACAACAGCAACGACAACAAUAACAACAGCAACGACAACAACAACAACAAAAACAUCAACGACAACAACAACAGUAACGACAACAACAACAACAGUAGUAGUAGCAAUAACAAUAACGACAACAACAGUAAUAACACUACCAAAAGAACACGAGUAAACAGUUACAGAAAAAAAACAUCUAAUGGAAAUUACGGAACGUCACCAAAAAUGAAUAAAAGAAACGUAAAAUAUAAAAGCUUUGGUGGUACAGUUAAAAAAAGUGGUGUAUUGUACAACUUAGAAGUGGAAUCAGCAAAAAUUAAAAACACGCCUCUAUGCAUUUAUUCCUUACAAGAUAUAUUUAAUCAUGAUAGAUCAAAUAAAAAAAAUUACAGAUAUGUGGAUGGUUCAUAUGCCACUGUUGAAUGCGAAUGUAAAUUUCAUCAUAAUAUAAAUUGUUUAAAUGAUUAUAUAAUGUUUUUACUUGACAAAAAGAAUAAGGCACUAAAAAAAAAAAAAAAAAAAAAACUAAUAAAAAUGAAAAAGUCAAUUAAUGAUGGUGGUUCUGCUGCUUUUGCUACUUCUGCUGCUACUGGUGAGGUGGAUAUAAAAAAUAAUAUUAAUAAUGGUAAUAAUAAUAAUGUUAGUAAUAGUGAUAAUAAUAAUAAUAAUAAUGAUAAUAAUAAUAAUAAUAAUAACCAAAAUAACUCGGAUAUGUAUAAGGAAAUCGAAAAUAGAGACUUCGGCAGCGACUGCAGUAGUGACUGUAGUAGUGACUGUAGUAGUGACAGUAGUACCGAUGGCAGUAGUGACAGUUGUACCGAAACUGAAAAAAA
ensembl:lncRNA